CAGCCGCCGCGGUAAUACGAAGGGGGCUAGCGUUGUUCGGAUUUACUGGGCGUAAAGGGUGCGUAGGCGGAUUGUUAAGUCAGGGGUGAAAUGCCGGGGCUCAACCUCGGAACUGCCUUUGAUACUGGCGAUCUUGAGUCCGGGAGAGGUGAGUGGAACUGCGAGUGUAGAGGUGAAAUUCGUAGAUAUUCGCAAGAACACCAGUGGCGAAGGCGGCUCACUGGCCCGGAACUGACGCUGAGGCACGACAGCGUGGGGAGCAAAUAGGAUUAGAUACCCCCGUAGUCCCUGUCUCUUAUAA
rnacentral:rRNA from 1 species